GCAUGCGGUGCCUCUUGGAUGCAAGAGGGUAAAAGGGAAACAGGUGCACAGUCCUGUACGAUCUCGUCACUGUAAACGGGGAGCGGAGAGCAAAGCGCUUUGGCGCGGUCACUGGUCAUCAGAUUGGUAAGGCUGCUGUUCUGCAAUGAUCCAAAGUCAGGAAACCUGCCGGAUGC
rnacentral:ncRNA from 1 species